CUGGGUAAACAAGCUGCUUCUUCUCCUUCAUUUUGCUGCGUUCUAUGAUCCUAACAAGUUCAUCCAGACACCGUGUAGAAGAUGCAUAGUUCUCAGAAAACACAACGAUGAAAAUCUUAGAUUCUUCAAUGGCCUUCGACAGAGCAGGUGGAAGACUUUCCCCUAUCCUCAUAUUCCUAUCAUCAUUGAAACUUUUUAUUCCCCUCCUACCCAACUCUCUACGCAGAUGCCCUAUAAAAGUGUACCUUGUAUCUUCCCCUCUAAAACUGAUGAACAAGGAAAUUUGUUUGGCCUUAUCAUCCAAUUUAUCGUAGCUUAUUUUAAGCACAUCUUGAAUCUUUUUAUUUGGAGUCCUCUCAUAUUCUUCCAUUGCCAUUUCCCAAUCUUCUAAACUUUCAUGAAAAGUAGCUAAAUCAGAGCCUAUCCUUUUUAAAGCCAGUGGAAGACCUUUGGCGUAAUCUACAGCACGCAGAGACACAUCUUCAAAACCUGUUUUAGGAUAACUUUGUCUGAAGGCAUUCCAACAAAAUAGCUCUAAAGAAUGUAGGUCAUCAAGUUCCUUCAUUUCAUACAUAUUUUUAACUUGGUGAGAAAUUAGCACAUCUUUUUCCCUUGUCGUUAUAAUGAUUCUACUACCUGGACCAAACCAUUUACCCCCUCCUGCCAAAUUUUCUAACUGGUCUUUAUCACCAACGUCAUCAAGAACCAAAAGAACUUUCUUUUUCUGAAGCUUUUCUUCUAUUUCAGUCAUUCCUUUACUUGUACUUCCCAAUUCAGUUUCCAACUCCUCAAACAUCUCAGAUAAAAGUGUCUUUUGUAGAUCUUUAAUGCCAUUGAUUCUGCUUGAUUUUUCUCUAACAUCGGAAAGAAAACUUGCAGCAUCAAAGUGUUGCAAAAUUGUGUUAUACAAAGCUAUGGCAAGUUCCGUUUUUCCAAUUCCACCAAGUCCAUAUAUGCCCAACAUAUUUACAGUUUUAUCAUAAGGCUUCAUUUCCAAAAGGGACAUAACUUCUUCUAUGCAGGCGUCAAGUCCAACAGGGUUUUGACCACUAUAUAAAGAUUUAGGAGUUAUAUAUUCAUGGACCUUCGCAACAAUUUCUUUAAUACAAUAGCUUUCAUCAUCCCUAUAAGAGUAGAAUGUAAUAAUUAAUUAUUUGUUUGAUAUCAUGAUUUCUAUUAUUAUUGUACCAAGUGAUAAGCAUUGUGAUUUUUGUACUAGAUAGAAAGCAAUGAUACUCAUAGCAAGUAGCACAAAAGAAUAAUGAUUACACAUUAUACAAAAUUUAAUGGAGAUGAAAAAGUUAGAGAAAUUUUAUUCUAAACAAAAAAAUCAAUAAUUUAUAAAAAAAAUACCUAAAUAUAAUAUCAAAUUCAAAUAAAAAAUGAUUUUUUCCACUUUUAAUUUUUUAUUAGUUUUUUUAUCUUUUAGAUUAUUUUUUAUAAUGUUCAGAAUUAUACUUUAUGACUAACAAAAUCAAUUAACACCCUGAAAAAAAAUCAAUUAUUACUUGAAUCAUUGAAUAUUUUUGUUUGUGAAAAGUAAAGUUACAUAAGGUCAACUUACUUUUGGUGUUUAACCUUUGAUAAAAGGCUAUAAUUAUUUUUUAACUAAAAUAAUUUAUUUUUGGAUGAGAGAAAAAUUAAGAGAGGAAAAAUAUUUUUUUCUUUUAAAUUUUCCUUACCAAUUAUUUUUUUUAAGAGAAGUAAAGUCUUUCAUCUUAAUAAUAUAUGUCGAUGAUAAUAUGUUAGUAAUAAUUCCCAACAAAGUUCAAAUAUGGGAAUCGAAGACAUUUGAUAAUAAUUACUUGGGAUCAACAAACAAGAUUUUAGAAAUAAAAUUCACAAAAAAAGAGAAAUGUUUUACUUUCUUGGAAUUAAAUACUUUCUUAGAAGCAAGUGCCUACUUCUUUCUAUCUUGGUUUGGUCGUGUGCAGUGUUAAGGUUUAACAGCUGUGCAAUUGUUACCGUAUUGGUAAUUUAUGCCGUCCAGUUUUUUGUAGUAAGUAUGUGCACACGGACCUCUUCUCUCUGCUGUCAAAAGGAACGUUUGCAGACUAUUGCUGCAUAAUUCUGCAGCACAUUCUGCAGCAUUAUUGGCCACUCAUACAUGUUUGUUCCUGAAUGCAUUUUCUGAUUUGGUUGUCUUGAUCUAUAUGUGGUUAAUAGCUACAUGUGGUUGUUGGUUCUUGUAUAAGAGUUUGGACACUCCAAAAGUGUCCCUCUUAAUUUAAUUUUAUUUUUUUUCUGAUAAACAAAAAUCAACAACAUCAAAAUUUAUGAUUAGAGGUAAAGCAAUACUCACCUGGGAGCAUGGUGCUUAAAAAAUCUAACGAGGUAUUGAAGGAACCCAAGAGAACAACAUGGUACUCAUUGAGAAAAUAUUGUUAGAGUUUACGGUGUUCAAUAAACGCAAUUGAUGGUGAAAGUGAAAAACAACCAAGGAACAAAAAAAACAAUCUGUGUGAAAAAAACCCACUACAACAACGUUAAUUGAAGUUAGCAACUUUGCAUCUGACUCUGCUAUUAAUAAUAGCAAUAGACUUUUUUGUUACGAAAUGGAAGUGUAAAGGAUAUUAGGUUAUGCGAAUUGGGUUAGGAAAUCAGAAUUAAAUUUACAGUGUAGGGUGAAAAUAUUUUAAAGAUGAUUGAGAAAAUGAAGGAAAAAGAUUGCGAGAUGAAAAUAUUAAAGGGGGAGAAGAUAGAAUCCAAUUAAUGAAGAUAAUAUGUUUAAACAUUGUAGGGGAAUUGAUUUAAUAAGGAGGAGGUUGGGGCAGUAUGCUUACAAGAAAUCAAAUUAGAAAUAGUGAAUAAAGAAAGAUGCUACAAUAUGGGAACAUUCAGUUGUAAAUGGGAUACAAGGAAUUUUAACUAUGUGGUGUAAGGAUACUUUCACAUGUGAAACAUUGGUUAGAAACACAAGUUUUUUAGGGGUUAAAGGAAAGUACAAAAAGAAUAAUAUGUUAAUAGUAAUAGUGAAUGUGUACUCCUUUUCUAACUAUAGUGAAAAGUAAGUAAUAUGGAAUGAAAUAUUAAGAUUAAGACAGGAACAAUAAUGCAAUACCUGCUAUGUAUUGGGAAAUUUUAACACAAUAAGGAAUUUAUAUUAAAGAAGAGGUAUAAAUUAAGGAAAUAAUAAAAAUUAAUGAAUUUAUAGAAAAUACUGAAAUCAUGGAUAUCCUUCUAGUAGGUAGAAAAUAUACUUCUCAAAAAGUAGGUUCCACAAUUUUAUCCUUGCAAGAAUGGAUGGAACAAUGGUGAGGAAGAAAACAAUAUAAAAAUCAUAAUAGGAAUAAUAAAAAUCAUAAUUAAACUAAAUAACUUUGGCUUAGUAGCUAUUAUCAACUAUCUCUUAAUUAGAGAAACGUGACUAAACUCUAUUUUGUAACAAAAUAAAUUUUUUAAAUUUUUUAUCUUUAACAAGUUUGAUGUCCAAUUACUGAUAGAUAUUGAUUUGUGUCUAAUUUUUUUUUCGAUUUUCAGAUUCGUCGAUAAUUAUCGACGAACACAUAUCUGUAAGUAAAUGUGUCGAUAAUGUAUACAAUUCGUCAAUAAUAAAAAAAAAUAUUGAUACACAUAAAUCUGUCGAUAAAUUUCCAUUGGUAAUUCAAUAAUUUUUGUUAGUGGAUGGUUUUAAGAGACAAAUUUAAAAAGACUUAGUAGGACUUACAAAUUUGUAACAAAUAGGUAUUUGGUAAUGUAAACCAAAUUAAUCAAACCACUAUAACUCAUAGGUGAUUUCGACAAAAUGGAUUACUUAAGUGAUCUAAAUGAGAAAGGAAGGAUGGAAAGAAAGAGGCUAUUUAGUGAACUUAAACUCAUACGCUGGCAACAUAAGUCCUUCGAGAAAUAAAAGUCUAGGUCAAAAUGGAUUCAAUUUGGAGACUCAAACUCUUGGUAUUUCCAUGUUGUUACGGAUUGGAAAAUAAGUAGGAAUAAGAUUAAAGGUGUUGAAAAUCUAGGGUAAUGGAGUACAUACCGUGUCAUUGUUAAAAGCAAGGUAAAAGAGUUAUUCUAAGAGAGGCUAACAAAGAUUACUAAAUUCAAUGUUAGGCUAAGGAACAUUAUCUUCUAUUUCUACUGGUGAUAAUAUAAUCCUAACAAGUGGGUUCACGAAACUAGAAAUAAAAUAUAAAAAAAAAGCACUAGGCAGGUUAUGUGGAAUAUGUGAACAAUUGAAAUAGGAUGUGGAGGUGUAUGUGGGUAGAGAUCAUUUGAAACAUAUAAAAUUAUAAGAAUAAAAUUGUCUUUAAGAAUGAGACCGGGUAUGCAGAAGAGAUAUUUUUUUUUUUGCCACAAACAAAAGUAUGAGCUUGGACAAGGAAUAGAUCUCUAAAAUCGACUUUCACAUAUUCUUAUAUGUCAAAUAACUUUCAUAAAAACCAUAUCUAAGUAAUAUGGUAUGCUCACCCAAAUGGGCAUGUGCAAUUGUUAUCAAUUUUAAAUUAUUUUCAAGUUUGAGUCCUAUAAAUGAAGCAAUAAGGGUUGAGAUUUCUUGAGUAUUAUAUACAUCACACAAUGUAAAACCUUAUGUACGUCAUAUGUAAAAAAAAAAUACUAGACAUUAAAUAAGGAGUGACAACGAUUAGUAUAGGUUUAUGGUAAAUCCUGGCAGAGAACAAUGAAUUGUUAUUAAGAAUAUUCUUAAAUACUUUAGAGAAACAUUAGGCAUGGUAUUAUGUUUUGAAAGAUUAUAAUUAUAUUUUAGAGACUUAUAUUAUAUGAUUUUUAUUAAAUGAAUUUUGUUACUGAUGAUUAUGUGUGUAUACUAAUAGGAAAAGCAGUAUGUUGGUAAUCCAAAUUGGAUGAUAUGUUAUAAUUUUGUCUAGUACAAAAAAAAUAUGAACAUAAAAAUUAUCUAAACAUACACGAAAGCUAUCUAAAUUCAAAAAUUAACUGAUAAACUAAGAGGUACAUAAGCAACAAAAAGAUUAUUCUAAUAGUCAAAAUGGAUUACCCAUAACAAUAAAUCUUGUCUUUUAUUUCAAAACAAAAUGCAUAGGUACACACCAUUCCAUAGAUAAUAUACUAUUAUUUUCUCAUUAGAUUUAUAAACUGACGAUAUUAUAAUCUUAUUUCUUUCACUAAAGUUACAUUAUUAAUUUUAUUUUAGUUGUGAAUAAUUAUCCCAUAAAAUACAUUAUUUUUUUCUAAAUAUGGGAUGAAAAAGAAAUAAGAAUGAAUGGUUUGUUAUACAUACCCGGUGCUAAUAUGCCUCCCUUGGAAGUCAACUGCUGCUUGAGAGAAGGCUGACCUCCAAUCCUGCAUUCUCUGUGAUUCUUUUCCAAUCUCCUUUUCAUGUGCCUUCAUGUGUUUUCCGAAGCUAUUUCUCUCGUGCUCUAUAUCUGAGGGAUCUACAUGGUAAAACACUGGGUAAACAAGAUGCAUCUUCUUCUUCAUCUUGCUGCGUUCUAUGAUCCUAACAAGUUCAUCCAGACACCAUGUGGAAGAUGCAUACUUCUCAGAAAACACAACUAUGAAAAUCUUAGAUUCUUCAAUGGCCUUCGACAGAGCAGGUGAAAGACUUUCCCCUAUUCUCAUAUUCCUAUCAUCAUUGAAACUUUUUAUUCCCAUCCUACCCAACUCUCUACGCAGAUGCCCUAUAAAAGUGUUCCUUGUAUCUUCCCCUCUAAAACUGAUGAACACAUCAUAGGUGAAACCAAGACGCUCUUCU
rnacentral:lncRNA from 1 species